rnacentral:rRNA from 1 species
UUAAAUUGAAGAGUUUGAUCAUGGCUCAGAUUGAACGCUGGCGGCAGGCCUAACACAUGCAAGUCGAACGGUAACAGGAAGCAGCUUGCUGCUUUGCUGACGAGUGGCGGACGGGUGAGUAAUGUCUGGGAAACUGCCCGAUGGAGGGGGAUAACUACUGGAAACGGUAGCUAAUACCGCAUAACGUCGCAAGACCAAAGAGGGGGACCUUAGGGCCUCUUGCCAUCGGAUGUG